GAUGAACGCUAGCGGCGGGCUUAAUACAUGCAAGUCGAGGGGUGGUAGCAAUACUACACCGGCGCACGGGUGCGUAACGCGUAUGCAAUCUACCUUUAUCUGGGGGAUAGCCCGGGGAAACCCGGAUUAAUACCGCAUAACAAAUUUCUUGGCAUCAAGAGAUUUUAAAAGAUUUAUCGGAUAGAGAUGAGCAUGCGUAAGAUUAGAUAGUUGGCGAGGUAACGGCUCACCAAGUCUACGAUCUUUAGGGGCUCUGAGAGGAGAAUCCCCCACACUGGCACUGAGAUACGGGCCAGACUCCUACGGGAGGCAGCAGUAGGGAAUAUUGGGCAAUGGGCGCAAGCCUGACCCAGCCACGCCGCGUGCAGGAAGAAGGCCCUCUGGGUUGUAAACUGCUUUUGACUGGGAAGAAAAGACUCCUUGCGAGGAGAGUUGACGGUACCAGCAGAAUAAGCCACGGCUAACUACGUGCCAGCAGCCGCUGUAAGAC
rnacentral:rRNA from 1 species